CCUGCAGACACAGACUAUAGCUCAGGUAUGUGAAGGAUGGGGGGAAAGGCAGCAGGGAAACAUAGGGACACUGAGACACUAGGGGACACAUGGGGACACUGAGACACUAGGGGACACUGGUAGACGUGGGGAUGCUGAGACACAUGGGGACGCUGUGAGACAUAGGGAGACACAUUGGGACAUGGACACACUAGGGACACAGUGUCUCAAUGUCUCCCAG